GGAGCUCUAGCUCAUUGGGAGAGCACAUGACUGAAGAUCAUGGUGUACCGGGUUCGAUUCCCGGGAGCUCCA
rnacentral:tRNA from 1 species